AGCUGUGCCAAGAAUCCAGCACAGUUUAUAGAAGGUAACCGGGUUAUAAGCCAACAGUGUAUUUCAGCAACAAAAAUCCUUCGGCAAAGAAAGUGGAAGCCUUGACAGACUGAACAAACUGAGAAACAAGGGACCAAAUGCGAAGUUGGGGCUGGGCACCAAUGAGUCAGUCAGACCAAAGUGCUUCUCAAGGAAGAUCCCACGAAGAGUCAGCUCUGAAGAAGACAAAAAUCAAAAUGUUUAAUGCACCAUCUAUGUUCUUUCGGGAGUCUCAAAAUUGUAUUGUCAAGUGCUUGAGUGGUGAGUGCAUAAAGGAAUGAGUCUGAUAGCCUCUACAAGUAAGCCUGCCCUUCUGUAUACAUCACUAUUGGACACUUGAUGAAGUUUGCACUGACGCAAUGGUGAGUCCGCUGAUAAGAGAAAGUUGCUGUCACUGGAGUCGGUGGAGCCUGUUGUACCCACAAUCUGAUGAAUUCGGUUCUUUGUUACAGCUGUAAUAUGAUACAGAAAAUAAAAAAAUAGUGUGACUUCUAAAGUAAUUUAAUGCUUUUUAGUGUUUCAGGGUCAAAUGGCCC